CGCCGUAAACGGUGGAUACUAGGUGUUGGUGGCUAUCGUCAUCCAGUGCCGUAGCUAACGCGUUAAGUAUCCCGCCUGGGGACUACGGUCGCAAGGCUAAAACUCAAAGGAAUUGACGGGGGCCCGCACAAGCAGCGGAGCGUGUGGUUUAAUUCGAGGCAACACGAAGAACCUUACCUGGGUUUGACAUGUACGUGGUAGUGAAGCGAAAGCGGAACGAUCCUUCGGGAAGCGUACACAGGUGCUGCAUGGCUGUCGUCGGCUCGUGCCCGUGAGGUGUUCGGUUAAGUCCCGGUAACGAGCGCAACCCUUGCUGUUAGUUACAUGUGUCUAACAGGACUGCCGGUUUAAUACCGGAGGAAGGUGGGGAUGACGUCAAGUCAGCAUGGCCUUUAUAUCCCAGGGCUACACACACGCUACAAUGGCCGGUACAAUGGGUUGCCAAGCC
rnacentral:rRNA from 1 species